AAUACCUGUGUUGAAACUGAAUUCAUAUUGCCAUACUCCUUACUAAUGCAAAAAUACAGUGAAUUCCUCUUCACAAAGACUACAACAGUUUAUUGACAGCAUCACAAGGAAAGUGGCUUGCUAUGUAUUCUGGGAUAAAGCUAUUGGAGCCUACCAACAUUCUUUUAUUCAUGGCCCAUUCCUGAAUCUACAAAGCCAGCAAUACUGCUGGUGCUAUUAUGGGUUGUCCGGACCAGGGGCAGCAAACUGCAUGGAGCCGCUGAUGCAGACUGUUUUGAAACUGACAUCUCAUCUCUUAAUCUGAGGGGAAAUAGACCCAAUCCUUGCGACACACUCAUGAAACCAGAGGAAGACUCAAGACUCUCCUUUGAACUCCAUGUUCUAUCUUGAACGGUGCCAGGGACUACAAUCAAAGACCUAAAUGGAUUUGAUAAGUUCCACAGACUUCUACAAGGACUCCUGAAUUGUGACACUGGUAAAUAAUUCUCUGUUCUGCACCAGUUCUAAAUCAGCUAAAGGUGCAGACUGAGAGAAGAAACUACAUGAAAUAAAAACCAGGGGUAGGGUUGCCAAAUUUAGCAAACAAAAAUAUAGAACAGCCAAUUAAUUUUGAAAUUCAAAUGAACAAUAACAUAUUUUUUAGUAUAAUUAUAUCCAAAUAUUGCAGGAGAUACACUUAUACUAAAAUUUUUCAUUGUUUACCCAAAAUUCAAAUUUCACUAGGAGUCCUAUAAUUUCCCUGAAAACUGGCCAGGCAUACAUCUUGA